rnacentral:rRNA from 1 species
AUUGAACGCUGGCGGCAUGCCUUACACAUGCAAGUCGAACGGCAGCACGGGAGCAAUUCUGGUGGCGAGUGGCGAACGGGUGAGUAAUAUAUCGGAACGUGCCCAGUCGUGGGGGAUAACGCAGCGAAAGCUGUGCUAAUACCGCAUACGAUCUAUGGAUGAAAGCGGGGGAUCGCAAGACCUCGCGCGAUUGGAGCGGCCGAUAUCAGAUUAGGUUGUUGGUGGGGUAAAAGCCCACCAAGCCGACGAUCUGUAGCUGGUCUGAGAGGACGACCAGCCACACUGGAACUGAGACACGGUCCAGACUCCUACGGGAGGCAGCAGUGGGGAAUUUUGGACAAUGGGCGCAAGCCUGAUCCAGCAAUGCCGCGUGCAGGAUGAAGGCCUUCGGGUUGUAAACUGCUUUUGUACGGAACGAAACGGCCUACUCUAAUACAGUGGGCUAAUGACGGUACCGUAAGAAUAAGCACCGGCUAACUACGUGCCAGCAGCCGCGGUAAUACGUAGGGUGCGAGCGUUAAUCGGAAUUACUGGGCGUAAAGCGUGCGCAGGCGGUUAUAUAAGACAGAUGUGAAAUCCCCGGGCUCAACCUGGGACCUGCAUUUGUGACUGUAUAGCUAGAGUGCGGCAGAGGGGGAUGGAAUUCCGCGUGUAGCAGUGAAAUGCGUAGAUAUGCGGAGGAACACCGAUGGCGAAGGCA